GUUUGGGCCUCAAGCCCAAACUCUACAGGCUGAAAAAAGGGAUUCGGACCAACGCAUAAUCAUGAAAUGCCACCGUCUCAGCAGCAUCUGCAUUUCCUGCUUUUAUCAACCCAUAAUCACACCAUUCCAAACGUGAGCAUGAGCAAAAACAAAUUCGGAUCAAAAUCUUAAUCGAUUUGAACUCCUGGUCAUCUUCACUGAUCCAGAGUUCCAACAUCCGCGUCAACGUUCAACCUUAUUGAAUAAGAUGCUUGGUGAAUUUAUAGAGAGCUGAAUAUUAACAGAGUUAGAUGUUGUUAACUUGCUCAGUGUAAAUUAGUUAGGAAAAUGAUUCCGUUAUCACCCUGUUAAGUGAUUCUUUUAUAGUCAGUUUGAGUUAGUUGAAAUCUGUUAAAAUGUUAAUUGCAAAUAGUUGGUAUUUGUUAACUGUGUUAGAUUAAUCUUUUAAUUGAUGGAAUGUUAGUUAGAGAGGUAAGCUGAAUUUGAUUCUGACUCUGCUAUUGAAUUUGCAGGGUAGAAGUGGUUAUGUUAAUCCCGACUUUACAGGGUUCCUGCGAUCUGAGUUUUUUUGUUUAUGCUGUUGCGAACGUUAUUCAUGGUGCAGGGUUCUAUUAGUUAUAAUCUAUGUUAAUUCCUGGUUUUCCAUUUGGAUUUUGCAGAAUGAAUUGUUGUGAAUUAUGGUUUGCACGAUGCAGGGAGUAGUUUAGUGCAGGAUUUUUGCUUGGUUUGCUACUGUCAAAACCCGAUGCAUCAUUUGGUUUAUACGUGCAUUGUCGUAACAUUGGUUCGGUUUUGACAUAGGGAGCAAAAGGAUAACCCACAGAUAAAUGGAAGGAGCAUGAUGGGACUUAGGGAUUGAUUAGUAUAGAACUUGUUUUAUGUGGAAAUUCUGGAUGUAUAUGAAUUGUAUCGGAAGACAUUUGAAUGUAUUUUGAAAAUCAAUUUACUUGUGAAAAGAAUGGAUUUGGAAUUGGUAUUGAAACUUGGUUUGGAUUGAA